rnacentral:RNase_P_RNA from 1 species
CGAGUCGACCGGGCGGUCGCGUCGGCGGGCCGGGUGCCCGCCGCCGAGGAACGUCCGGACUCCACAGGGCAGGGUGGUUGUUAACGGCAACCCGGGGUGACCCGCGGGACAGUGCCACAGAAAACAGACCGCCGCGCCCAUCGGGCGCGGUAAGGGUGAAACGGUGGGGUAAGAGCCCACCAGCAUCCCGGGUGACCGGGAUGGCUCGGUAAACCCCACCCGGAGCAAGGCCAAGAAGGGCCGCCGACCGCGAGGACGGCAGCCUGCGCAGACGCUUGAGGGCGGCCCGCCCGAUGUCUGCGGGUAGGCCGCAGGAGCCUGCCGGCGACGGCAGGCCGAGAUGGAUGGCCGCCGCCGUCGCGGACCCCCAGGGGUACGCGGCGCGCACAGAAUCCGGCGUACAGGUCGACUCGUCCG